rnacentral:ncRNA from 1 species
CACCGCCCAUCACUAAUACCAAUUGAAUAGUUUAGUGAGAUCCUCGGAUUGACCCUGCUGGGGUCAGUCACGGCCCUGGUGGAGCGCCAAGAAGUUAGUCGAACGUGACUAUCUAGAGCAAGUAAAAGUCAUAACAAGGUUUCCCUAGGUGAAUCUGCGAAAG